UACGGGGGGGGCAAGCGUUGUUCGGAAUUACUGGGCGUAAAGGGCUCGUAGGCGGCCAACUAAGUCAGACGUGAAAUCCCCAGGCUUAACCUGGGAACUGCGUCUGAUACUGGAUGGCUUGAAUCCGGGAGAGGGAUGCAGAAUUCCAGGUGUAGCGGUGAAAUGCGUAGAUAUCUGGAGGAAUACCGGUGGCGAAGGCGGCAUCCUGGACCGGCAUUGACGCUGAGGAGCGAAAGCGUGGGGAGCGAACAGG
rnacentral:rRNA from 1 species